GUCAGCAGCCAUAUCACUCUGCAGCCCAAGACUGGUUGCCCACUGAAGCUAAGCAGGGUUGAGCCUGGUCAGUACCUGGAUGGGAGACCUCCUGGGAAAACUAGGUUGCUGUUGGAA
rnacentral:rRNA from 1 species